AAGUUUUUUAUCGACGAAAUUAUCCGCCUCCGAGAUCUGGGAAUUAUAAUUUUUGACAUCGAUACGAACAGAAACACAGGCUGAGCCGUACAAAAAGGGGCAACAAACGAAGCAAAAAUAACAAUAGUGGCAUGAAGGCUUUUAAGGGUGCCGUAAAGCUGAUCUUAGUGAUAGUCUUGUGGUCACAAUCUGUGUUAGGAGGUCCCACAAGAUGUCCUUUGAUGCAAAACUUCCUGAAAUACUACCCGGAUGAUCCGGAAGCUCAAACGGAGUGUAUAGCGUGUCCUGAAUGCCCGCCAGGACUA